CAGAAGGGGAAGAAAGGCCCAGAGUCCGCCCCCCGCUGCGGCCUGCGCCCUACGUCACCACGUCCGGCGUAGUCGUCACCGCGUCCUGCGCCCGGCGCUUCUGUGCUUCCUGUGUGCCUGUCUCCACGCCUGCAGACCCCCCCUGCGUGUUCACCCACCUACCCCAGUACUUUCAAAAUAGCCUUUCACCUAGGACUGUAACUCCUGCUCCCAAAACAGGAUAUAUGGAGUACAUACUUGUAGUAUAAAUGGAUAAAGAUCAGGUAGUAGCUGUUUGUAAGGCCUCCUCAGACAACCAUUCGGAAGAAUAGCAAGGAGAGAUAAGAAAGCCUUCCUCAGCAAUCAGUGCAAAGAAAUAGAGGAAAACAAUGAAUGGGAAAGUCUAGAGAUCUCUUCAAGAAAAUUAGAGAUACCAAGGGAACAUUUCAUGCAAAGAUGGGCACAAUAAAGGACAGAAAUAGUAUGGACCUAACAGAAGCAGAAGAUAUUAAGAAGAGAUGGCAAGAAUACACCAAAGAACUAUACAAAAAAGAUAAUCAUGACCCAGAUCAUCACGAUGGUCUGAUCACCAUCCUAGAGCCAGAUAUCCUGGAGUGUGAAGUCAAGUGGGCCUUAGGAAGCAUCACUAGUGAACAAAGCUAGUGGAGGUGAUGGAAUUCCAAUUCAGCUAUUUCAAGUCCCAAAAGAUGCUGCUCCUGUGAAAGUGCUGCACUCAAUAGGCCAGCAAAUUUGGAAAACUCAGCAGUGGCCACAGGACUGGGAAAGGUAUGAAAAAAGAAGAAGAGGGACUUCCCCAGCAGUCCAGUGGUUCAGACUGUGUGCUUCAGUGCAGGGGGUGAAGGUUCCAUUCCUGAUCGGGAAACUAAAUUCCCAUACGCUUUAUGGCAAAAAAAAAAAGAAGAAGAAGAAAAGAUGAGCCCCUGUUGAAGAGCUAAUAAACUGUGACACAAAAA
ensembl:lncRNA